GAGGACUUGAAGCAUAUGGAUAAAAGACGAAGAGACAACCAGGUUGCGUAGAGAACCCUACUGAAGUACUUUCGACGAGCAGUAGCGUCUAGACAAACACUGCCCCCAAGCCGGUUUCCAAUGCAUCAGCU